AAAUUGAAGAGUUUGAUCAUGGCUCAGAUUGAACGCUGGCGGCAGGCCUAACACAUGCAAGUCGAACGGUAACAGGAAGAAGCUUGCUUCUUUGCUGACGAGUGGCGGACGGGUGAGUAAUGUCUGGGAAACUACCUGAUGGAGGGGGAUAACUACUGGAAACGGUAGCUAAUACCGCAUAACGUCGCAAGACCAAAGAGGGGGACCUUC
rnacentral:rRNA from 1 species